rnacentral:rRNA from 1 species
AAUGAACGCUGGCGGCAGGCCUAACACAUGCAAGUCGAGCGAGCACUUCGGUGCUAGUGGCGGACGGGUGAGUAACGCGUGGGAACGUGCCCUUUUCUGCGGAAUACUCCUGGGAAACUGGGGGUAAUAUCGCAUACGUCCCUCUGGGGAAAGAUUUAUCGGAGGAGGAUCAGCACGCGUUGUAUUAGCUGGUUGGUGGGGUAAUGGCCCAUCAGGCCGACGAUCCAUAGCUGGGUUGAGAGGAUGGGCAGCGACACUGAGAGGAGGAAGCGGUGGAGAAUCUUGCGGGAGGCGGCAGUGGGUGAUCUUGGACAAUGGCGGGAGUCAUGAUGGAGCCAGGGCGGGUGAGUGAUGAAGGCCGGAAGGAAGAGAAGCUCGUUAAGCUGGGGAGGUAAUGACGGUACCAGAAGAAGAAGCCCCGGCUAACUCCGUG